UCUCUGGUGGUCUAGUGGCUAGGAUUCGGCGCUUUCACCGCUGCGGCCCGGGUUCGAUUCCCGGUCAGGGAA
rnacentral:tRNA from 2 species